GAUGAACGCUGGCGGCGUGCCUAAUACAUGCAAGUCGAGCGAACGGACGAGAAGCUUGCUUCUCUGAUGUUAGCGGCGGACGGGUGAGUAACACGUGGAUAACCUACCUAUAAGACUGGGAUAACUUCGGGAAACCGGAGCUAAUACCGGAUAAUAUUUUGAACCGCAUGGUUCAAAAGUGAAAGACGGUCUUGCUGUCACUUAUAGAUGGAUCCGCGCUGCAUUAGCUAGUUGGUAAGGUAACGGCUUACCAAGGCAACGAUGCAUAGCCGACCUGAGAGGGUGAUCGGCCACACUGGAACUGAGACACGGUCCAGACUCCUACGGGAGGCAGCAGUAGGGAAUCUUCCGCAAUGGGCGAAAGCCUGACGGAGCAACGCCGCGUGAGUGAUGAAGGUCUUCGGAUCGUAAAACUCUGUUAUUAGGGAAGAACAUAUGUGUAAGUAACUGUGCACAUCUUGACGGUACCUAAUCAGAAAGCCACGGCUAACUACGUGCCAGCAGCCGCGGUAAUACGUAGGUGGCAAGCGUUAUCCGGAAUUAUUGGGCGUAAAGCGCGCGUAGGCGGUUUUUUAAGUCUGAUGUGAAAGCCCACGGCUCAACCGUGGAGGGUCAUUGGAAACUGGAAAACUUGAGUGCAGAAGAGGAAAGUGGAAUUCCAUGUGUAGCGGUGAAAUGCGCAGAGAUAUGGAGGAACACCAGUGGCGAAGGCGACUUUCUGGUCUGUAACUGACGCUGAUGUGCGAAAGCGUGGGGAUCAAACAGGAUUAGAUACCCUGGUAGUCCACGCCGUAAACGAUGAGUGCUAAGUGUUAGGGGGUUUCCGCCCCUUAGUGCUGCAGCUAACGCAUUAAGCACUCCGCCUGGGGAGUACGACCGCAAGGUUGAAACUCAAAGGAAUUGACGGGGACCCGCACAAGCGGUGGAGCAUGUGGUUUAAUUCGAAGCAACGCGAAGAACCUUACCAAAUCUUGACAUCCUUUGACAACUCUAGAGAUAGAGCCUUCCCCUUCGGGGGACAAAGUGACAGGUGGUGCAUGGUUGUCGUCAGCUCGUGUCGUGAGAUGUUGGGUUAAGUCCCGCAACGAGCGCAACCCUUAAGCUUAGUUGCCAUCAUUAAGUUGGGCACUCUAAGUUGACUGCCGGUGACAAACCGGAGGAAGGUGGGGAUGACGUCAAAUCAUCAUGCCCCUUAUGAUUUGGGCUACACACGUGCUACAAUGGACAAUACAAAGGGCAGCGAAACCGCGAGGUCAAGCAAAUCCCAUAAAGUUGUUCUCAGUUCGGAUUGUAGUCUGCAACUCGAUUACAUGAAGCUGGAAUCGCUAGUAAUCGUAGAUCAGCAUGCUACGGUGAAUACGUUCCCGGGUCU
rnacentral:rRNA from 1 species